rnacentral:piRNA from 1 species
UAGAGAAACCAUGUCUACAGGGCAACC